GCUUGCUCUUAUGAAGUUAGCGGCGGACGGGUGAGUAACACGUGGGUAACCUGCCCAUAAGACUGGGAUAACUCCGGGAAACCGGGGCUAAUACCGGAUAACAUUUUGAACUGCAUGGUUCGAAAUUGAAAGGCGGCUUCGGCUGUCACUUAUGGAUGGACCCGCGUCGCAUUAGCUAGUUGGUGAGGUAACGGCUCACCAAGGCAACGAUGCGUAGCCGACCUGAGAGGGUGAUCGGCCACACUGGGACUGAGACACGGCCCAGACUCCUACGGGAGGCAGCAGUAGGGAAUCUUCCGCAAUGGACGAAAGUCUGACGGAGCAACGCCGCGUGAGUGAUGAAGGCUUUCGGGUCGUAAAACUCUGUUGUUAGGGAAGAACAAGUGCUAGUUGAAUAAGCUGGCACCUUGACGGUACCUAACCAGAAAGCCACGGCUAACUACGUGCCAGCAGCCGCGGUAAUACGUAGGUGGCAAGCGUUAUCCGGAAUUAUUGGGCGUAAAGCGCGCGCAGGUGGUUUCUUAAGUCUGAUGUGAAAGCCCACGGCUCAACCGUGGAGGGUCAUUGGAAACUGGGAGACUUGAGUGCAGAAGAGGAAAGUGGAAUUCCAUGUGUAGCGGUGAAAUGCGUAGAGAUAUGGAGGAACACCAGUGGCGAAGGCGACUUUCUGGUCUGU
rnacentral:rRNA from 1 species